rnacentral:rRNA from 1 species
GCGCCACGGUGCAAAGGUAGCAUAAUCAUUAGUCUUUUAAUUGGGGACUGGAAUGAAUGGUUUGACCAAAAUAGAGUUGUCUCUAGAAAAUAUUUUGAAUUUUAUUUUUUAGUAAGAAAGCUAAAAUAUNACCUAAGGGACGAGAAGACCCUAUUAAGUUUUACANAUUNAAAGNUAUUANUUUUCAAAUUNAAUNAUUUGUCUUGNUUUAGCUGGGGCAGCUGAUAAAAUUAAUUUUGUUUUUUUAUUAUNNAAUUUUAAAUUUUGUUAUAUCUUAGAAUCUNAAAAUUAAGAAUAAAUUACUGUAGGGAUAACAGCUUAAUUUCUUUAAAGAGUUCUUAUCAUCAAAGAAGUUUGUGACCUCGAUGUUGGAUUAAGAGUCCUUGUAGACGCAGAAGUUUAUUAAGGAAGUCUGUUCGACUUUUAAAUUCUUCCAUGAUCUGAGUUCAAAUCGAC